rnacentral:misc_RNA from 1 species
GAUGAAGAACGUAGCGAAAUGCGAUAAGUAAUGUGAAUUGCAGAAUUCCGUGAAUCAUCGAAUCUUUGAACGCACAUUGCGCCCCCUGGCAUUCCGGGGGGCAUGCCUGUCCGAGCAUCAUUUCUGCCCUCCAGCCCGGCUGGGUGUUGGGCGCUGUCCCCCCGGGGACACGCCCCAAAGGCAGUGGCGGCGCCGCGUCGGGUCCUCGAGCGUAUGGGGCUUUGUCACCCGCUCGGGACGGACUCGUCGGCGCUGGUCUUCCUCCAGGCGACCCUUCGGGGCUCGUCUUCCUUCGGUUGACCUCGGAUCAGGUAGGGUUACCCGCUGAACUUAAGCAUAUCAAUAAGCGGAGGA